ACGAGUUUUGGCACGGGUUUUGGGGGACCCACACCGGGGGUGGCGGCCUUGGCGGGCGCCGUGCCAAAGACGCACGCGGGGGGCGAGACACGCGGGACAUCCGGGAAGGGCUCCCAAAUCACAGCGUCCACGUCAGACGCGGGGAACAAGCUCAGAGCAGCCGCGGAAUUCCGAGCAGCACCCGUAAGUAGACGUAGGGGACGCACGGCGGUGACGCAGGACCCGGAAGUCGAACCGCGGCGGUCAGCUCGCAUCGCGGAGCAAACACGGGCACGGGCGAAGCAGGGAUCGUACACACGGAGCAAGGUCCGAAGUGGGUGUCGGCACGACACGUGAAGCCGUUUCGAACGCAAGAACAAAAGAACACAGAUCCCGGAAACAGAGAGACAAGUACUCAGACAGAGGAGGAGACUCAAACUACAAGCAAUAAUCUAGAAGAAACAGAAGAAUAAAAGACUUUGGGGGGUUUUCUGAAAAACUUUGGGUGGAAAAUGGUGAUAUUUAGUCAGAAAGGUGGGGUGAUAAACUUUGCAAUGUUCAUGUGUUUUGUCUCAUUGCCAAUGGUUUUGAACAACAAAGCAAAUUUACCAGUCAAUCAGCCAGAGAAAAAUGUUUG